rnacentral:lncRNA from 1 species
AAAACUCAAAAGACAUGGGUUUUAAAAUCCAACAUCCUUCACUUGGGAUGCUGUCAGUUUCCCACCAUGUCAACAGCUCACUUCCUCCCUCAGUCUGUUCACGUCGUAGCCAGAGUGAUCCUUUUUAAAUGUCUUAUCAUGUUACUCUUCUGCUGAAAAUCCUCCUGCAGCUUCCUUUUUCUUUUGAGACAGAGUCUUGCUCUG